GAUGAACGCUGGCGGCGUGCCUAAUACAUGCAAGUCGAGCGAACAGACGAGGAGCUUGCUCCUCUGACGUUAGCGGCGGACGGGUGAGUAACACGUGGAUAACCUACCUAUAAGACUGGGAUAACUUCGGGAAACCGGAGCUAAUACCGGAUAAUAUAUUGAACCGCAUGGUUCAAUAGUGAAAGACGGUUUUGCUGUCACUUAUAGAUGGAUCCGAGCCGCAUUAGCUAGUUGGUAAGGUAACGGCUUACCAAGGCAACGAUGCGUAGCCGACCUGAGAGGGUGAUCGGCCACACUGGAACUGAGACACGGUCCAGACUCCUACGGGAGGCAGCAGUAGGGAAUCUUCCGCAAUGGGCGAAAGCUUGACGGAGCAACGCCGCGUGAGUGAUGAAGGUCUUCGGAUCGUAAAACUCUGUUAUUAGGGAAGAACAAAUGUGUAAGUAACUAUGCACGUCUGGACGGUACCUAAUCAGAAAGCCACGGCUAACUACGG
rnacentral:rRNA from 1 species